AAUAGGUAGAUUUGGCUUCACUCUUUGCGUAACUCUAUAUAUAAUAGACUCUGGUCGCCAGAAUAACGCUCGCAUAACAUUUAAGAAAAAGAAAAACGCUCACAUAAACGUCAAAAACAAAAAAAAAAGUUUGUUAAUUUUUGUUGGAUACCGGAAAGUUAAUAAUUUUAAUCUGUACCAAAAUAAUUUUGCUUAGCAGCAGCAGUAUUGAACGUACAGGUACCGAUGAUGGGAAAAGUUUCGCGAAUCCAGGAGAAGCCGAUGGCAGGAACACAAGCAUCCGGGAUCUCAACAGUAGCAGCUAACUUGAUCGACCUCCUUGUCAUGAUGACAACGAGAUGGUCAUGGGACAAGGUGCUAUGCUGUGUAAACAACGAGAUCGCUACGCUGGACGAUACUAUUUUUGCAAGAUUUUCGCGAUACCAACACGGACACCACGAUAGUAACAAAAUUACUGUUAUAAUUAAACUUUAACAACAGCUCCGGCACAACGGCGACCGGAACGUCGUUACCAAUUGUACAAGCCUUCCCGUACAACCCACCAGAACACAUAUCUAUCACUAUCGCAGUCAACGAGAGUCCAAUACAGAAAACUUAAAACUUUUUUUGGUGAAACAACCUGAAAAGCUAUCAGGUGGGCGGCGACUGCUGUUAAUUAUAAGUGAAUGCAUGGUGUUCUAUUAGAAUUGAUCUAAUUCACGCAUGUGAGUACAUUACCUGUUUAUUGUUACUAUGUUGCUAUUUGUGCAUGUCAUAUAUGUUUUCCAGUAUCUUAUUGUACCUAUGUGUUUUCUUCAUAAUUUCAAAUCAAUGGACUUUCGUUUAAAUAGGUGAAGAUCGGAAAUCAAAAGGAAAAUAUUAAAUAAUCGGUGUUGAAGAUGUAGUAUACGAUUCGUAAAGGUUUUUUUUUUUCAAAUUUUGCUUCUAAGAAACUAAAAAUAUAGGAAUAAAGUGACUGAGAUUGUUAUAAAAUAAAAAGAAUGCAUUGGAAUAAACACGUGACAUGCAUAAAUAGCAACAUGUAUGUUUGAGUCAUUCUCAAAAAAGAAUUUAAAAGAAAUUUAAAUUUAAAUCACACCUA